rnacentral:rRNA from 1 species
GAUGAACGCUGGCUACAGGCUUAACACAUGCAAGUCGAGGGGAAACGACGGGGAAGCUUGCUUCCCCGGGCGUCGACCGGCGCACGGGUGAGUAACGCGUAUCCAACCUGCCUCUGACUGAGGGAUAACCCGUCGAAAGUCGGCCUAAUACCUCAUGGCAUCGUCUGCGGGCAUCCAACGACGAUUAAAGAUUUCAUCGGUCAGGGAUGGGGAUGCGUCUGAUUAGUUAGUUGGUGGGGUAACGGCCCACCAAGGCGACGAUCAGUAGGGGUUCUGAGAGGAAGGUCCCCCACAUUGGAACUGAGACACGGUCCAAACUCCUACGGGAGGCAGCAGUGAGGAAUAUUGGUCAAUGGGCGUAAGCCUGAACCAGCCAAGUAGCGUGCAGGAUGACGGCCCUAUGGGUUGUAAACUGCUUUUAUGCGGGGAUAAAGUGAGGGACGUGUCCUUCAUUGCAGGUACCGCAUGAAUAAGGACCGGCUAAUUCCGUGCCAGCAGCCGCGGUAAUACGGAAGGUCCGGGCGUUAUCCGGAUUUAUUGGGUUUAAAGGGAGCGUAGGCCGUGGAUUAAGCGUGUUGUGAAAUGCAGGUGCUCAACGUCUGCACUGCAGCGCGAACUGGUCCACUUGAGUGUGCACAACGCAGGCGGAAUUCGUCGUGUAGCGGUGAAAUGCUUAGAUAUGACGAAGAACUCCGAUUGCGAAGGCAGCUUGCGGGAGCACAACUGACGCUGAAGCUCGAAAGUGCGGGUAUCGAACAGG